GACAGAGGUGGCAAGCGUUGCUCGGAUUUACUGGGGUUAAAGGACGCGUAGGCGGCUUUAUAAGUCCGAGGUGGAGUUCCACAGCUUAACUGUGGAACUGCCUUUGAAACUAUAAGGCUUGAGUCAGGUAGAGGAGGGCGGAAUUCUCGGUGUAGCGGUGAAAUGCGUAGAUAUCGGGAGGAAGGCCGGUGGCGAAAGCGGCCCUCUGGACCUGUACUGACGCUGAGGCGCGAAAGCGUGGGGAGCAAACAGG
rnacentral:rRNA from 1 species